UCCUACGGGAGGCAGCAGUGAGGAAUAUUGGUCAAUGGACGAGAGUCUGAACCAGCCAAGUAGCGUGAAGGAUGAAGGUCCUACGGAUUGUAAACUUCUUUUAUAAGGGAAUAAACCCUCCCACGUGUGGGAGCUUGUAUGUACCUUAUGAAUAAGCAUCGGCUAACUCCGUGCCAGCAGCCGCGGUAAUACGGAGGAUGCGAGCGUUAUCCGGAUUUAUUGGGUUUAAAGGGAGCGCAGACGGGUCGUUAAGUCAGCUGUGAAAGUUUGGGGCUCAACCUUAAAAUUGCAGUUGAUACUGGCGUCCUUGAGUGCGGUUGAGGUGUGCGGAAUUCGUGGUGUAGCGGUGAAAUGCUUAGAUAUCACGAAGAACUCCGAUUGCGAAGGCAGCACACUAAUCCGUAACUGACGUUCAUGCUCGAAAGUGUGGGUAUCAAACAGGAUUAGAUACCCUGGUAGUCCACACGGUAAACGAUGGAUACUCGCUGUUGGCGAUAUACUGUCAGCGGCCAAGCGAAAGCAUUAAGUAUCCCACCUGGGGAGUACGCCGGCAACGGUGAAACUCAAAGGAAUUGACGGGGGCCCGCACAAGCGGAGGAACAUGUGGUUUAAUUCGAUGAUACGCGAGGAACCUUACCCGGGCUUAAAUUGCAAAGGAAUAAUCUGGAAACAGGUUAGUCUUCGGACCUUUGUGAAGGUGCUGCAUGGUUGUCGUCAGCUCGUGCCGUGAGGUGUCGGCUUAAGUGCCAUAACGAGCGCAACCCUCGCCGCCAGUUACUAACAGUUAAAGCUGAGGACUCUGGCGGGACUGCCAUCGUAAGAUGUGAGGAAGGUGGGGAUGACGUCAAAUCAGCACGGCCCUUACGUCCGGGGCUACACACGUGUUACAAUGGGAGGUACAGAAGGCUGCUACCCGGCAACGGGAUGCCAAUCCCCAAAACCUCUCUCAGUUCGGACUGGAGUCUGCAACCCGACUCCACGAAGCUGGAUUCGCUAGUAAUCGCGCAUCAGCCACGGCGCGGUGAAUACGUUCCCGGGCCUUGUACACACCGCCCGUCAAGCCAUGAAAGCCGGGGGUACCUGAAGUGCGUAACCGCAAGGAGCGCCCUAGGGUAAAACCGGUAAUUGGGGCUAAGUCGUAACAAGGUAGCCGUACCGGAAGGUGCGGCUG
rnacentral:rRNA from 1 species